rnacentral:rRNA from 1 species
GUGGGGAAUAUUGGACAAUGGGCGAAAGCCUGAUCCAGCCAUGCCGCGUGUGUGAAGAAGGUCUUCGGAUUGUAAAGCACUUUAAGUUGGGAGGAAGGGCAGUAAGUUAAUACCUUGCUGUUUUGACGUUACCGACAGAAUAAGCACCGGCUAACUUCGUGCCAGCAGCCGCGGUAAUACGAAGGGUGCAAGCGUUAAUCGGAAUUACUGGGCGUAAAGCGAGCGUAGGUGGUUUUGUAAGUUGGAGGUGAAAUCCCCGGGCUCAACCUGGGAACUGCCUCCAAAACUGGAUGACUAGAGUACGGUAGAGGGUAGUGGAAUUUCCUGUGUAGCGGUGAAAUGCGUAGAUAUAGGAAGGAACACCAGUGGCGAAGGCGACUACCUGGACUGAUACUGACACUGAGGUGCGAAAGCGUGGGGAGCAAACAGGAUUAGAUACCCCGGUAGUCC